AAGGAAUUGGUUUAACGAUUUUCUAACGUUAGCUUGCCUAGCAAGUGAAAUGUUAGGCGCCAUCACGGUCCCGUCGGUGGGAAAUUUCGGAUCGUGACAACUACCAAAAGUUGUUGAUACAAUAAAAUAACUUCAUGCUUAAGAGAUGAACAAUGAUUUAUGUACUAAAGGACACCUUGAAACAUUUCAUAAGGUUUCAAUCAUGUACCUCAAUCUUCAUUGGUCUCGGCAGUUUCACUUUAGUCAUUGCUAUUUGCAACUCCUCUACAACUUACAUACGAUACAGAGAAUUCUUAUAAACAUAAAAUCACUUUUAAAACUGUAAAUACUUGCAAAUAUAAGAAUUCAUACGCAUUAAAAAUUUUAUCCCACAAUUACAAGUGUCUACAGGAAGAUAAAGAAACAAUCGUCAUAUUAGAGUUAGGUACUCAAAUAAUAGAGCCAUAGUAGAUGGAUUCUGCACCGACGGUUCACAAAUAUUUCAGAAAAAUAAUCAACCACAUAGUCAUUCGCAAAGUAUUAUAUUAUUUUACACAUAUACUGUAACUUGCAAGUUAAGCCAUUCUCUUUCAAUAAAAGAAAAUUCAAUUCACAUUCAAGUUCUUCAUAAAAAAUGACAUAGUAAUUCGUGAAGCAAUCAAGAUAAUGAAAUAGCAUUCAAACUUCAAAAAUAUUCAAAUACUACUGUCGCAAAUUUUGGGGUAACCAAACUCUGUUUUAAUUAGCAAAAACAUUAUUUAACAAAUGAACUCACUAACAUAGUAUUCGAUAGUUUUCAAAUCAAUGAUCAUAGGCAGAAAAUGAGAAAUUUACUGCUAAAAAUUAAAACAGACAAGCAUCCUAACAAAUCAUAUAUUUUCAAUUAAGUUUUUUCAAGGAAAAAUGCCUCCAUCUCUCAUUACUGAUCUAAAAAAGAACAUGACUCAGCAUGAGUAAUGUCAGUAAAUGCACAUUAAAAGAGAUCAAUCAUGUUUCCAAAUUGGAUGGUACACCGAAAAUCAAAAUUCUAAGUUGAUACCCUUGAAACGCCAAUAUAAUGCCCAUUUUAGCUAUUCGAUAAUAUUGGUCUUACAAAUCAUUACAAGAAUGAUAUUUUUAUAUUACUCAUUUGACAAAGCAUAAUUUUUAUUACAAUAAACCAACUGUAAUGCAAACGUCAUUUAAUAGGCAGAAAAUCACUAUAAAAUACUUAUGAAUUCUCUCUCAAAAUUGAGUUAAUAUGUUAAAUGAAUAAAAAGAUGUAAUCUCCAGAUUAAUCAUCAUUUAACAAAUGAAAUAAACACAUCAGAAAAUGCAUUAGUGUAACAUAAUCAGCCACUGUCACAUUAGAUUUUCAAUAGGCAGAAGCAAAGCCGAAAGAGAUGAACAGAACCAGUGGAAGAAGCAGAGAUGCAAAGGGAACACAACCGAUUAUCGAAAAUCAGUCUUAAAGGAUAAAAGAAAAGUAAAAUAGUUAUUAUUAUUAUUAUAUUAGGCACUGGUAUAUACCUAAAAUAUUCUUCCCAUUCUUAACAAUUGACAGAAUAAUACCUUGACCAAGAUUUUCCUAUCACUAUAUUGUCCCUUAUAAACUUCUACACCCUUCCGUUAUUGUUUUCUUCUUUAGUUGGGAACUGCCGUUGUUACACUAUUUUUUCUGAAUUUUCACCGCCGCAUAGUUAAAGAAAAUUAUUCGAUCCAUAACCAACAUAAAAAUAUGCUGCAAAAUGAGGGAAGAAAUACACUAUUUAGCCUCUUUUUUUAAUAUUUCUCUACCCCUAUUCAGCAUGUCUUUUCUCUUCAGCAAAAGUUCAUAGCAAACAAAAAAGGAAAAAAACUGCAAUUUACCUUACCAUCAUCUUUACACAUCAGAUUUUUCCUCCUCUUAUAUCUUCUCCUGAAUUCNNN
rnacentral:lncRNA from 1 species